GAGAUAUCUAGCAUUGGGAUUGCUGGAUUGAAUGAAGCUGGCCAGCUACAAAUUACAUGUUGGGAGACACCCUUGCAGAUGGGGUUCUACAUGUCUUCAGAUUCCUCCGAGUGGAUAUACCCACAGAAAAUCCGGAGGCAGAAGUGAGCAAUAAGAGGGGUGUGGCACCACAAGGGGAGAGGAGGGUUCUUCUGGGAUGUUUGAGGAAAGCAACAAGACUUGUGUGCAGGAACAGAAUGAAGGAGGGGAGCAUCUCAGGAAGAGAAUUGGCAACUACAUUCUGCAGGUCCCUGUAAGUGGAAAUCCAUUGGAAGAGCUUGAGCAGAGAGACAUCAUUUGACUCAAACUUUAAAGGGAAUAUGGAGGCCCAAGAAGAGGGAGAGAAAUAGGGAAAUAGCUGAAGGGAGAAGAAGUCAGAACACACACAGCAUUUACU